rnacentral:rRNA from 1 species
UACGAGGGGUGCUAGCGUUAUUCGGAAUUACUGGGCGUAAAGGGUGCGUAGACGGCGCAUUAAGUCUGUUGUUAAAUCCUCCGGCUCAACCGGAGAUCAGCGAUAGAAACUAAUGUGCUUGAGGAUGGAAGAGAGAAGUGGAAUUCUCGGAGUAGCGGUAAAAUGCGUAGAUCUCGAGAGGAACACCAAUGGCGAAGGCAGCUUCUUGGUCCAUUUCUGACGUUGAGGCACGAAAGCGUGGGGAGCAAACAGG